rfam:Candidatus Tokpelaia hoelldoblerii isolate Hsal, complete genome.
GGGCCUGUAGCUCAAUUGGUCAGAGCCGGCGGCUCAUAACCGCUUGGUUGGGGGUUCGAGUCCCUCCGGGCCCA